rfam:Daphnia pulex DAPPTscaffold_3_Cont204, whole genome shotgun sequence.
GCUUCCGUAGUGUAGUUGGUUAUCACGUCUGCUUUACACGCAGAAGGUCCUCAGUUCGAACCUGAGCGGAAGCA